rnacentral:rRNA from 1 species
ACUCCCUACGGGAGGCAGCAGUGGGAAUCUUGGACAAUGGGGGCAACCCUGAUCCAGCCAUGCCGCGUGAGUGAUGAAGGCCCUAGGGUCGUAAAGCUCUUUCGCCUGUGAAGAUAAUGACUGUAGCAGGUAAAGAAACCCCGCUAACAUCCGUGCCAGCAGCCGCGGUAAUACGGAGGGGGUUAGCGUUGUUCGGAAUUACUGGGCGUAAAGCGCGCGUA